GAAAUGCGAUAAGUAAUGUGAAUUGCAGAAUUCAGUGAAUCAUCGAAUCUUUGAACGUACAUUGCGCCCGCCAGUAUUCUGGCGGGCAUGCCUGUUCGAGCGUCAUUACAACCCUCAGGCCCCCGGGCCUGGCGUUGGGGAUCGGCGGAAGCCCCCUGCGGGCACAACGCCGUCCCCCAAAUACAGUGGCGGUCCCGCCGCAGCUUCCAUUGCGUAGUAGCUAACACCUCGCAACUGGAGAGCGGCGCGGCCACGCCGUAAAACACCCAACUUCUGAAUGUUGACCUCGAAUCAUGUAGGAAUACCCGCUGAACUUAAGC
rnacentral:misc_RNA from 1 species